rnacentral:rRNA from 1 species
UACGGGGGGGGCAAGCGUUGUUCGGAAUUACUGGGCGUAAAGGGCUCGUAGGCGGCCAACUAAGUCAGACGUGAAAUCCCUCGGCUUAACCGGGGAACUGCAUCUGAUACUGGAUGGCUUGAGGUUGGGAGAGGGAUGCGGAAUUCCAGGUGUAGCGGUGAAAUGCGUAGAUAUCUGGAGGAACACCGGUGGCGAAGGCGGCAUCCUGGACCGGCAUUGACGCUGAGGCGCGAAAGCCAGGGGAGCAAACGGG